UACGUAGGGUGCAAGCGUUGUCCGGAUUUAUUGGGCGUAAAGAGCUCGUAGGCGGUCUGUCGCGUCGGAUGUGAAAACCCAGGGCUCAACCCUGGGCCUGCAUUCGAUACGGGCAGACUAGAGUACGGCAGGGGAGACUGGAAUUCCUGGUGUAGCGGUGAAAUGCGCAGAUAUCAGGAGGAACACCAGUGGCGAAGGCGGCUCUCUGGGACGGUACUGACACUGAGACGCGAAAGCGUGGGGAGCGAACAGG
rnacentral:rRNA from 1 species